GGUACGUGCCGUGUGGGGAGGUCCCUAGCUAACUAACCCUAAUGGCGCCCGCGCUCCCCUCGCCUGCCCGCUGUUUUAUUCGCUGACUUUCAGCGGGCGAGGGGAGCGCCCGGGGGGGUGGGGGGAGGCGGAGGAGGAAAGGGGUCCGGCAUUAAAAAAUGUCAGCGAGGGGGCUCCUCACCCCGGCCCGCUCUGGGGUCCCCGUCCCGCAGCCCGGAGCGCUCCCGCCGCCGCGCCGCACGGAGGCCGCGGUCGGCCGGCCCAGGGCCACUGCCGCCGCGAAGAGCUCGUCUCUGUCAGCCUCGGCGGCGGCCGGGAGAAGAGAAGCGGUCCCCCCCCAGCCCCGGGCAGUCGGGGGUCCCAGCAGAGCAAACCGGGAGCGGCGCCGCCGGGCUGGGCAGCCGCGGCUCCCUCAGCCGUGGGGUGCGCGGCCGGCGCCGCCCCGACACCC
rnacentral:telomerase_RNA from 1 species